GACGAACGCUGGCGGCGUGCCUAAUACAUGCAAGUCGAACGCAGUGGGGACGGGUGAGUAACACGUGGGUAACCUCCCAUCAGAGGGGAUAACACUUGGAAACAGGUGCUAAACCGAUACUGAUGGAUGGAACCGCGUUGCAUUAGCUAGUUGGGUAGGUAACGGCUCACCAAGGCCACGAUGCAUAGCCGACCUGAGAGGGGGAACGGCAACACUGGGGCUGAGACACGGCCCAGACUCCUACGUGAGGCAGCAGUAGGGAAUCUUCGGCAAUGGACGAAAGUCUGACCGAGCAACGCCGCGUUAGUGAAGAAGGUUUUCGGAUCGUAAAGCUCUGUUGUAAGAGAAGCGGUAUCUUACCAGAAAGGGACGGCUAACUACGUGCCAGCAGCCGCGGUAAUAC
rnacentral:rRNA from 1 species